rnacentral:lncRNA from 1 species
AGCCCCGCCCGGCGGGGGGUCACCGCUCGCCGGAGGAGGGGGACCGGAUCACUCGAGCUCCGGGUAGCGGAGCACGGGCGUCUCUUCGGGCGGGAGGGGCACGUUGGCGCGGCAGAGCGGGCACGUGGCGCGCUCGUACCGGAGCCAGGUCUCGAGGCAGGCGCGGUGGAAGAGGUGGCCGCAGGGGAGGCGGUUCACCACGGCCUUGGCCACGAAACCGGACAGGCACACGCUGCAGUCGUCGCCGUCCGCCUCCGCCGCGCUGCACGUCGUCGACGUCGACACCAGCACCCCGUACAGCGCCGGCCGGAACGCCCUCAGGAACCGGUCCGCCAGGCCCAGGCCGGGCGCUGACGCCACGAGGCGGUCCCCGG